AAGUCGUAACAAGGUUUCCGUAGGUGAACCUGCGGAAGGAUCAUUAUUGAAUAUGCUUGAUAGGUUUGUAGCUGGCCCCUUGGGGCAUGUGCACGGCCUGUCUUGACUCUGUUCAUCCACCUGUGCACCUUUUGUAGUCUUUUUGUGGGCUGGUAAGUAGGCUGUGACUCAGUCGAAGGGCUGGAUAUGAGGACUGUGCCGUGCCUUUGGCAGGGCUCUUCUCUAAGCUACAAACCUCCCACAAUGGACUAUGUCUUUUAUCACAAACCAUAUCGUAUGUUGUCAGAAUGUAGUCAAUGGGCCUUUGUUGCCUAUAUAAAAUCUUUAUACAACUUUCAGCAACGGAUCUCUUGGCUCUCGCAUCGAUGAAGAACGCAGCGAAAUGCGAUAAGUAAUGUGAAUUGCUGAAUUCAGUGAAUCAUUGAAUCUUUGAACGCACCUUGCGCUCCUUGGUAUUCCGAGGAGCAUGCCUGUUUGAGUGUCAGUAAAUUCUCAAUCCCACCAGCUGCCUUGUGUAGCUGGUCCUAAGGGUUUAGGAUGUGGAGGCGUUGCGGGCCUUUCUAAUAGGUCGGCUCCUCUGAAAUGCAUUAGCGGAACCGUUUGCGAUCCGUCACAGGUGUGAUAAUUAUCUACACCAGUGGGUUGCUCUCUGUCUUGUUCAGCUUCAAACUGUCCCGUUCUUGUGGACAAACCAUUACUGAUUGUUUUGACCUCAAAUCAGGUAGGACUACCCGCUGAACUUAA
rnacentral:rRNA from 1 species